UCCCAUCCUCUAAUUGUUUGUCUUUCUUUACAGCUUAAUGAUGCCUUAGCUGGCUCUGGAAACCCAAACCCUCAAGGAUGGCCUGGUGCAUGGGGGAACCAGCCUGGGGCAGGAGGCUACCCAGGGGCCUCCUAUCCUGGGGCCUACCCAGGACAGGCUCCUCCAGGGGGUUAUCCUGGACAGGCUCCUCCUAGUGCCUAUCCGGGCCCAACUGGCCCUAGUGCUUAUCCUGGCCCAACUGCCCCUGGAGCUUAUCCUGGCCCAACUGCCCCCGGAGCCUUCCCAGGGCAACCUGGGGGACCUGGAGCCUACCCCAGUGCUCCUGGGGCCUACCCCAGUGCUCCUGGGGCCUAUCCUGCUACUGGCCCCUUUGGUGCCCCGACUGGACCACUGGUAAGGAGGAAGUUGUUUCAUGGGCUUGCUGUACCAGUGGGGAGGACAUUAGAGGGAAUUUAAGCCUGCUGCUUAGCCAUGUCUUAAGAGUCAAUGGCAGGGGUGUAAUCAGUCAAGUAGGAAAAGGAAUGUGUUCAUAUUGAGUUGAUUCUGUAACUUGUUAUGAUAAGGCAUUGGGUGGCUUACACCUAUAACUCCAGUAAACACUGAGAGCUUUUCAAGACUGCAAAACUUUAGCUCAAACCAGGGAUGCAAGGAGGGAAAUGAUGGGGUAGAGGUGACUCCUCCACCU
rnacentral:lncRNA from 1 species